rnacentral:rRNA from 1 species
GAUAUCUCGGCUCUCGCAUCGAUGAAGAACGUAGCGAAAUGCGAUACUUGGUGUGAAUUGCAGAAUCCCGUGAACCAUCGAGUCUUUGAACGCAAGUUGCGCCUCUACGCUAUUCGGCCGAGGGAACGUCUGCCUGGUUGUACGC